GGGCUGAAGGCCUACGAACUGGUUCCUGAAGAGUAUAGCCAGCGAUUUCGAAGCUGGAGAAAAGGUGAUCGUCAAACUCACUCUGAGGUGCUGCCCCGAGGCUAGAUGUGCCCUUUAAGCUACAGGUGGAUGCCAGCCAGGUUGGUGCUGGAGCUGUCUUAUUACAGACAGGGGAGAAUGGUCUGGACUAUCCCGUGAUUGGCUGAAGUGAGUGAUUGUACACCUGAACAUAAUUAGGACUCUCUAUAAGAGACUGGGACAGAGAGGAGGGGGGGGGCAGAUCUUGGGCUGGUCCUGUUUGUGCUGUUCGUUGGACUCUUUUCAGCUUGUAGUACUCAUGAAAUGUGAGGGAUUUGGGAGAUCACCGCCGCCCUUUGAUCCAUCUCCUCUGUGAUGGUUGGACUUCUGAUUUCCAUAUACAUUUGCACCAUCUACUGACACACUGAUUAUCAUUUACACUGAUUCUUAAUGUUGUU